AUGAUGAAGUUGAUAGCUGUCCUUUUGGGUGCUGGUUGUCUCCUGCUUUCAGUUUCAGGAUAUGAUGAUUUUGAUUUAUCUGAUGCUCUUGGGAUGACAGUUACCAAGCGGCCUAAUCCAGCUACCAAAAGACCACCAGUGGGUGGCAACCCCAGGCCCAGUCUAUAUCCUGACCUUCGACCGCAUGGAGGUGGCCAGGGAAGUGAUGGUGGAAACUCUAGACCUAAGCUCUACCCUGAUCUUAGACCGCAUGGUGGUCAUGGAAAUGAUGAUUCAGAUUUUCAUCUAGAGGAUGCCCUUGGUGGUGGAGGGGGCAGUGCUGGAGGUGGCGGCAGCAGCGCCGGUGGCAGCAGCGGUAGCAGUAACAGUGGUGGUCAUGGCAGCAUUGGUGGUCAUGCUUUUAACGACUUGGAUCUCAAUGAUGGGAAACCUCUACCACCAGCAGGCGAGCGACCACAUGUUUCAGAUCAAGGUGGAAAUAAUGUUGAUGCUAGUUCAACAGCUCAGAUUACAUCCCCAGUUGUGGCUGUUGUGGUAUUAUUAGCUGUUGGGGCACUAGCUGGCUAUACUUCUUACAAGCAGAAGCGAUACUGUUUUAAACCAAGAGGUGGAGCAGUUGUCUGAAUCCACAGGAAACUGGGAAAAACUUCAAGAAGAUUAUCCAAGUUGUUGAUGCACUAUGUAUAUGAUUUCUGUGUAUAAAUCAUCUCAUUGAGAUUUUGUGCAAUAUGACCUUUUACCUUAAUAAAAAUAGAAAAAUUAUCUUUCUAGAACUAGAAGUCUAUUAAGGUCUUUAUGAAUGUAACAUAAAUGGUUCUAAUAUACAUGUUUUCUAUGUAAAAACUGUUUUAUACUACAUUUUCUGUUUAUGCACAGAUGGUUGUAAUUUUGGGUGUGGCACAAGAGCCCAUUUGUCAACAAUCAGAAAAACAACAAAAAUGGCAAUAUGUAAAUGCAUAUCUAUCAAUAUACUAGUUUCAUUCAGCAAUUAUUUCACUGAAGUUGCUGUAUCAUUAAAAUGUCAAUGAAUCCCUCCUCAUGCUUACAGCAAAUGGGUAAACUCAUGCCCAAACAGGAAAGCACAAUAGUCCCAUUCCAUAUGUAUGGAGUCUCACCAUGAUACCAUAAACCUUUUUUUUUAAAAUACAGGCUUUCUAAUCACAUACAGUGCCUUGUGUGAAAUGGAAACUUUGUUCCUCUGAGAAUAAUGAAACUGGAGACAUUGGGGGACAGAACUGGCAUGUUUACUUCAUAUGUUGAUACAACAUGCUUUCUAAACUUCUGGAUAAGUAAUCAUAAGGCAUCUGGACCUUGAGCAAAUUUUUUUUGGGACUGUCUUGUCCAUAAAAUUUUAUUUGUGUGCUAAGAUCAAACACAAAUGGAUUGUUUUUGCGGUCCUCCUUCAGAAAUUAGACAGGGUCUUUCAGUUGUGGCUCCAUAAAGCGGGAAUGUCCAGGCCGAUUUCCCAGGUGCUCUCACUGUUAUUUUUCAGGAGCUUAGCAGAGGUUGUUUUAUUUCCUUCUGCUUUUAAUAAAACUGAGAUUUAAGAUUUGUUUUUCUCUUUAAUGGUGUUGGUGUUACGGAUUUAAUCAUGUAUACUCUCAACUUGCUUUGUAGUUUUGAGGUUGAAUUAAAUUAAUGUCUCAUUCAUUAUCCAAUGUAUUAAUAGACUAAAGUAUUAAUAUUGGCAACAAAUUGAUUUAAUUAAAAGGAAUGAGAUUUGCUUUGAAGUAAUGAUCCAAAACCCAUGUGGCAGGCCAGGAUCCAAUGGCUUGCUCAGCCAUGGUGACCUUGGUAAUACACACUUUCUCAGAGGAAGGCAAUGGCAAGCCUCCACUGAGUAAACUGUACCAAUAAAACCCUGUGACUUGAAGAAAUUUACCAAUAAGAAAUCAACUUUAACUGUGUGCAUUUACAUGCAAAACCAGAUGAUCUGAAUGUUAUUUCAGUCCACUGGCAAAAAGCUCACCUCUGAGUCUGAAAGGGUGACCUGUUUUAUUGUGAUUGGCAGAGAUAUCUGUUCAAUGUGAGUCAUCAAAUGUAUUGAGGAUGUUUUACAUAGAUAGCUGCCAUGUCGAAGGAUGUCUGGAUUGGGGGCCAUGACAUUUAAAGGUUAGGUGAUGGUCGAUGGCUUCCACUGUAUUUUAUAAUGAUGUGGGUUUUUUCUUCAAAUACGGAAUGAAGAAUUCAUCUCAGUUUUCUAUGUCUCCAUUUUUAAAAACAAACCAUAAAUUGCCACUGUCAUAUUUGCUAGUAUAUCAGUAACAGGAAGUGGGUAGAAGUCUAGAAAUCUUGGAAUGAACUCAUGUUCCUUUCAAUUUUGAAGAAAGAUUCCAAGUGUACUGGAAAAUAUAUAUUUCUAUGCCACACAUUGAAAUAAAAUGCAAAAAGCCUGUGGUGGAUUUUUUUUGUCCAUAUUAAUUCUUCUAGGAGUAGUAACUGAACGUUUGUCCUUUCCCCAUCCCAUGCAUUUGAUUUACCUCAUAUGUGAGCAGUUUACUUGUGUAGAGGCACCCUGAUUUUCAAAUGAGUCUCUGCAGGAAUCCAGCACCCUGAAUUUCAAACAAUGAGUCUCCAUGGUAAGGGAAGGCUCUCUUCCUCAGAAAGUCACCUUCCUCUUCCUCACAGAUGUCAUCAUCAUCAUAGGUGAUCCCUUGUGACCCAGUAUGAUUAUCUUCUAGAACUAGAGUCUCUAGUUAACUGCAGACACCUACUCUGGAUUGACAUGGUCAAUCAAAAUGAAGACAUCAAUUUCCAGAUGGAAGGUGCUCCUGACAAGGAUUUGCUUGACACAGCUUACUCUUGGCACGUUUCUCCCUUUCCCCAUCUAUUCAUGCCUCUUCACUGUUGGUAACAUCCUACCUCUAGUUAGAACACUCAAGGGCCAGGGCUUUCCAGUUCUCUGUGUUUACGCCAUAUUUUUUAAGGUUGAAAAUUUAAUUUAUCUAAUAGUAUAAUGACCACGUAUGAGCACCAUGAUACUGCUGUUCUAACAAAACAAUAUACAUCUUAUGUUAGUGCACACGAGUCAGCAGUGUGAUAUCGGAAUGACAGAUUGCAUGGUAGCUGGCACCUGAAUGAUUGGGGAAAAUAAAUUUUGUGUGUGUGAUCAAGAUUUGAUAGUGUGUGUGUAUAGAGGGUGGGAGUUAGCCUGUAACAAGGAACACUUAACAUGUUUUGUUCCACUUUUCAGAUUAAAAUCAUACAGACAUGCCAGGUAGGCCAAAACAAAACAUUUUGCCUUCUUCCAUGAGUAGAAGCCAGUUGAAAUUACUAAAGCAAUCUAGCUUAGGAGCAGACUUCAUGAUAAGCACAGCUUUGUUCUCCGUCACCUCAUUGCCCAUCUCCUGCCACUGAGGCACUGGAAAACACUGCCUCAUGAUAAGGCUGAUCCUGCACACACAUUAAUUUUGUGUUGAGAAGAAACAGGAGGAAAGCACCAUAGGUCCAUUCAUCUCAAUAGGGCACCAAUAAUACCGUGUUUCCCCGAAAAUAAGACAGUGUCUUAUAUUAAUUUUUACUCCCAAAGAUGCACUAGGUCUUAUUUUCAGGGGAUGUCUUUUUUCUCCAUGAAGAAUUCACAUUUAUUAGUGAACAAAAAUUGAACAUUUUAUAUAUACUGUACAGUAGUUGUCAUCACAAACCAGCAUGACCAGACAAACUGAGAAUCCUAUCAAAAAUUUCUUGUUACUACCAAUAUUUCCAUGUACAACACUCUAUGUUGUACAUUUACCGAUCCUGCAUGCUUUGGUGUUCUGUUCGUUGGGCAUGCUUCCAAACAAAAAGUUGGCUAGGUCUUACUUUUGGGGGAGGCCUUAUAUUUAGCAAUUCAGCAAAACCUCUACUAGGUCUUAUUUUCUGGGGAUGUCUUAUUUUAGGGGAAACAGGGUAGCAGCAGUUGUAUAAGGGAAGGGGGAGGUUGGAGUAAAGGUGAUCUUUAACAUGAUGUACUGAAUCAAGUAAAUCUGUCGGUACACAUGGACUUUGGAAUAGAAGACAAAUGGACACAAGCCCCCAACAAACGGUGAGGAGAGAGCGGAGCACCCCUAAAAUGAUCUUGUGAAACUGGACCACAGUAACUUGUAUAUAAUUGACACUCCCGAGGCAUAUUCAUCAGGAAUGUAAUGUACAUCAGAGCUUCUCAUGCUAUCUAAUGGGGUACAGAGAACUAUUUUUCCUACACUUGCCAGGAAGUGGAACUAUAUUUAUGAACUUCCUUCCUGGAAAGUUUCAGGCAUUUGCCAUCAUUUUUAAGUAAAAUUGCACUUUUUUUAAACCUCUGGUAGGAAUAAAAAAAGACUUCCUACAAUCAAUAUGAAGCACAUUGACUAAAGAUGCAUUCACACCGUACUUAGCUUGUUCUCUCAAACAGCAUAUCUACACUGAAGAAUCAAUGCCAUUCAGGGCCGGUCGGAGAUAAAUUUAAAUAUUGAGCGGGGGUGCUGAAAAGCGCCCCCCGCCGGCCCCGCCUCCUGCGCCCUGGCCCCGCCUCCCAUGCUAUUUGCCCUGGCCCCGCCUCCCAUGCAGCGUGGGAGGCGCGGCCAGGGUUGGAAAGAGGGAGGCUUCGCCGCCUGGGGAGGGGAGGAGGGGAUUCCCUCCUCCCCUUCCCGGGCGGCGAAAGAAGGAGGCUUCGCCACCCGGGGAGGAGAGGAGGGGAUUCCCUCCUCCCCUUCCCGGGCGGCGAAAGAAGGAGGCUUCGCCACCCGGGGAGGAGAGGAGGGGAUCCCUCCUCCCCUUCCCGGGCGGCGAAAGAGGGAGCCACAAGGCCAGGGCGCAC
ensembl:lncRNA